UAAAAAGACAAAAAAAAAAAAAAAAAUUGGUAAACAUCCCAAGGAAUAAAAAAGGGAGCAGAAGCAGACGAAGUCCCGAGAGGCGAGCGAGCGGGUCAGCGGCGGCGUCGUGCGUUUCCUCAUGUAAAAGUAGCUUCUUAGUGGCGUUGUCACUUCUGUGUAGAGUAAGCCAAGCAAAAAACUGUGAUCCUCAUUUGUUGAAAACAUGCAGCUUGAAUGGGGGAAAAUAUAUGAAACUGAUUGA